rnacentral:lncRNA from 1 species
AAGGAAAAUUUUGGAAACACAAUUUGGAACAUUUGGAGGAAACAAAAUAAUUAAAUUAGGUUUAGAAUAUUUUGUUUUUAUUUUGUUAAAAAAAAAGAAAAAAAAAAGAAAGAAGAAAAAAGAAAAGAAAAAAGAAAAAAAAAGAAGAAGAAAAAAAGAAACUUAUUUGAAGGCUGGAAUAUGCCACGGUCCAGGUUCUCUUUUGGGGAAGCAAAAGGUUAAUUAAAAAUGGAUGUGCACACAGUAGCUUGGAGGUGUAGAUGGAAAUUUUAAUUGGAGAAAAAAAAAAGAUUGCAGCACAUGGACAGAGUAGGGCACACGUCUGGGGAUUGCUUUUAAUUUUGAGCAGCCGGCACUUACUUUGAAUGCACUUUUCAUUUUGGCAGCAAUUAUUCUCGGCAAAGGGAAUUUUUGGGGAGAGGCUUGGAACAUUUUUCUUUUCACUAUUUUUUUGUUGGAAACAUGUAUUCACUCGGUGACUAUGGUUGAAUGGGAGAAGCAAUUUUCUUUUCUCUUAUUUUGGUGAAGGAGCUGGAACGUCCAACAGGGGCUACACAUAUUUUUUUUUUAUUUGAAGUUGCUUGGAGGGAUAGAUGCAGCCGCCACUUAUGGAGAGAAUUUUAUUCCAGUAAUUAAAAGCACACGGUCCUAGCUAAAAGUGGUGCUCACGGCCUGGUAGGAACACGCUGCAUCAAGCUGAAUUCAAUGGCAACUCACGUGCUUUUCAAUUGCCUUGGAGGAAGCAACAUGUUGAUUUUUCAAUUAGAGGGGAGCCCACGUACAACAGCUCUCUGUUACAAGUUUAUUUUGCUUUUAAACAUGAUGACAAUUGAUGAUUAGAAAUGGUAGCAUGUUAUGACUUAUAAGGGAAUUAAUUUUAGAAGCACAUGUUUCGUUUGUUUGCCUUUAGAAAAAAGAGAAGCGUCGGUUUGCUUUGAAAUUGAUUCACAUUUUUGAUUUCAAAAUUUUAUUCCUUAUGUCAACACGGUUUCUUCCAUAAAAGUUCCUUAUUUUAUUUUAUUUUAUUUUAUUUUUUCUUUCUUGACCCAUGAACCCAAACUUGUUUUU